rnacentral:rRNA from 1 species
UUAACGCUGGCGGCGUGCCUAAUACAUGCAAGUCGAGCGAACAGACGAGGAGCUUGCUCCUCUGACGUUAGCGGCGGACGGGUGAGUAACACGUGGAUAACCUACCUAUAAGACUGGGAUAACUUCGGGAAACCUGAGCUAAUACCGGAUAACAUGUUGAACCGCAUGGUUCAACAGUGAAAGACGGUCUUGCUGUCACUUAUAGAUGGAUCCGCGACGCAUUAGCUAGUUGGUAAGGUAACGGCUUACCAAGGCAACGAUGCGUAGCCGACCUGAGAGGGUGAUCGGCCACACUGGGACUGAGACACGGCCCAGACUCCUACGGGAGGCAGCAGUAGGGAAUUUUGCGCAAUGGGCGAAAGCCUGACCGAGCAACGCCGCGUGAGUGAUGAAGGUCUUCGGAUCGUAAAACUCUGUUAUUAGGGAAGAACAAAUGUGUAAGAAACUAUGCACGUAUUGACGGUACCUACUGAGAAAGCAACGGCUAACUACGUG